CUUGUUCGUCUCCGCCCGUUUGCAUGGUGUGAAAUAUGAUCAGCCUGAAACACGGAGUGUUUUAUUUUAAAAAGAAGCCGGUUGUUUAAAUUUGUGUCUGUGCCCGACUUCCUUUCCAGCACGGGUUAAUCUGUGCUGAAUUUAUCCGCCAUGCUCCGGCGUCCAGAAAAAUAGUACUCUUGCGAUCAGCUGAGGAGUCCGGCGAUCCGCAGAGGAACGGAAAGAAGUCGGUGGAAAUUGACAAAUUAACUCAAAUGGUUACAAUCCGCUACAAUCGGUGGAUACAGCCUUUUCGUAGUCAUUACGGAUGUGGUAGAAAUGGUGGUAAGCCUUGCCUGUGGAAUCCUCCUUGGGUCUGACCAGGUGAGGUUCACGUUGACAACUCCCUCCCAGGUUGUCCAGCUUCCUUGUCCGCUCUGUGACACAGCCUUGAUAUUGUUGCGCUCUUCCUCCAUCCUAGUCAACUCCUAUCCUAGUCCUGCUCUUCCUGCCUAGACUCUGCCAACAAUCUCCUUAUGUUGCAGCUCUGUUGAGCCUUCCACUUUUGGCCCAUCAGAACCUUGGUGUUUGUGUUCCUUACUGACUGAUCAGUGGACUAUCUCGAGAGCCAGCCUGGAGUUCUCUUGCAUACAGCCCUGCCAAACAGACUGCAGUGGCAGUUGUAAUAUGUUCUCGUUUCAUGAGAGAAAGGAUGAGUGGAUUUCAUCAUCUACAGUUCAUAAUGUCACUAAGAGAUUCAGAGGGUCUGGAGAAAGGACGAGGACCAAAACCAAGACUGGAUGGUCCUGAUUUUCAGGUCCUCAGGCAGCACUAACGUUAAAGCAGAAAGGACUCAGUAGUGGUAAUCACCACAUCCGCUCUACACAUUAAAACUAGAGCAACAUAUGCUGCCUUUCAGACGAUGGAUCUCUUUCAUGAAACUGUGAACAGAACCGUCCUUCAUCAACAUUUGCUCAGAUUUGUUUAUAGUUACUCUCAAAAAUCACCUGCUGCAUCUGCUCCUGAUCACGAGUCGCACGUCCACACUUCCUUAUAUGGAGUUGUUUGUCUAUUCAUGGGUGAAGAUUAAUGCUGAUAAGUGGCAAUCACUUAAUGAUUGACUGGAAUUCAUGGACUUAGGCACGUGCCAACAAUCAAAUCUGGGUUUUCCCAUCCUUCAUGAAUCUAGAACAGUUUUUUAGAACAGAUGACGUGUAUGUGCAAAUCUACACUCACCAUUUAUUAGGUACACCAUGCUAGUAACGGGUUGGACCCCCUUUUGCCUUCAGAACUGCCUCAAUUCUUCGUGGCAUAGAUUCAACAAGGUGCUGGAAGCAUUCCUCAGAGAGCUUGGUCCAUAUUGACAUGAUGGCAUCACACAGUUGCCGCAGAUUUGUCGGCUGCACAUCCAUGAUGCGAAUCUCCCGUUCCACCACAUCCCAAAGAUGCUCUAUUGGAUUGAGAUCUGGUGACUGUGGAGGCCAUUUGAGUACAGUGAACUCAUUGUCAUGUUCAAGAAACCAGUCUGAGAUGAUUCCAGCUUUAUGACAUGGUGCAUUAUCCUGCUGAAAGUAGCCAUCAGAAGUUGGGUACAUUGUGGUCAUAAAGGGAUGGACAUGGUCAGCAACAAUACUCAGGUAGGCUGUGGCGUUGCAAUGAUGCUCAAUUGGUACCAAGGGGCCCAAAGAGUGCCAAGAAAAUAUUCCCCACACCAUGACACCACCACCACCAGCCUGAACCAUUGAUACAAGGCAGGAUGGAUCCAUGCUUUCAUGUUGUUGACGCCAAAUUCUGACCCUACCAUCCGAAUGUCGCAGCAGAAAUCGAGACUCAUCAGACCAGGCAACGUUUUUCCAAUCUUCUAUUGUCCAAUUUCGAUGAGCUUGUGCAAAUUGUAGCCUCAGUUUCCUGUUCUUAGCUGAAAGGAGUGGCACCCGGCGUGGUCUUCUGCUGCUGUAACCCAUCUGCCUCAAAGUUCGACGUACUGUGCGUUCAGAGAUGCUCUUCUGCCUACCUUGGUUGUAACGGGUGGUUAUUUGAGUCACUGUUGCCUUUCUAUCAGCUCGAACCAGUCUGGCCAUUCUCCUCUGACCUCUGGCAUCAACAAGGCAUUUCCGCCCACAGAACUGCCGCUCACUGGAUAUUUUUUCUUUUUCGGACCAUUCUCUGUAAACCCUAGAGAUGGUUGUGCGUGAAAAUCCCAGUAGAUCAGCAGUUUCUGAAAUACUCAGACCAGCCCUUCUGGCACCAACAACCAUGCCACGUUCAAAGUCACUCAAAUCACCUUUCUUCCCCAUACUGAUGCUCGGUUUGAACUGCAGGAGAUUGUCUUGACCAUGUCUACAUGCCUAAAUGCACUAAGUUGCUGUCAUGUGAUUGGCUGAUUAGAAAUUAAGUGUUAACGAGCAGUUGGACAGGUGUACCUAAUAAAGUGGCCGGUGAGUGUACAUGUACAUUUAUUAAAUUUACUGAGACCCAGGGAGUUUUCAGGGGAGACCUUCAUCUUUCAGCAAGACAAUGACAGACCACAUUCUGACAACAGGGACUACAACAACAUGGAGCACAGCAGGACUACAACAGCACAGAAGACAUGACGACCUUGGAAUUAAGGUUGCAUGACCAUUGCUGAUCCGGUAUGUCAAUGGUAUGUCAAUCACUCACACCUAAAGUCUUGCACACACCCACUCAAAAGACCUGACCUGAGAUCAAUCUGCGAUAAGUGCUCACGUGCAAAUUAAAUCAGGCCAGGAUCAAAGGUCAGAAUCAAAUGAGUCUGCGAUAACCAGAAGCUCCGCCCCCUCCAAGCUGAACACCUGAGCUCCAGGUGUGUGUAUAUAAAGAGCAUCAGUGCAGCUGUCAACUCAGAAUUACCUGACAGGUAAGACGUCUGCUGAGCUCCUGAAGAUCACAUCUACAAAGAACCAGCUGACCAUCACCAUGACGACAACCCUGAUCCUCUGCUUCCUGCUCUGUGCUGCUGCAGUUACUACAGGUCAGACACACACACACACACACACACACACACACACACACACACACACACACACACACACACACACAGCCUCUAACAGUGUGUCUCUCUGCAGCUCCAGCUGAAGAGAAGAAGGAACUUGCAGGUCAGUACUGAGGGCAUCAAAACUCACAUGCACACACACACACACACACACACACACUCAGGUGUGACACCUGUCUCCCUUUAACUCUUCUUUUCUCACCAGCAGUAGAGGAGAACCUGCCUGUCGAUGUUCCAGGUAAAUAUAUAAUUAAAUAUAUAUGUAGGCAAAGUCAGUUCCACCUCAGUUCUCAGAGGUCAUCUUACAAAGACCCCAACCCCCUAUUAAAGUUCUCCCUGUAUUCCUCAAUUUCUCUGGUGUUUCUAGAUCAAUAUUUGUUUUUGCAAUGAUUGACUAUUGACUAUCUACUAUCUGACUAUUGAUUAUUUUGGUAAGAAAUAGUCUCAACUCAGCUGAUCGUGGUUCUGGUGUUUCAGAGUCAGACAAAGAGAUGAUGACCAAAGAAGAGAAAGACUUGGCGCCUCUUGAUGCUGUUGAUGAAGCUGAAGACGGUAAUGAGAGGAAACAUGUCUCAGUGUUAGUCUUUAUCUGUGUGUCACAGCAUGACCUCUGACCCCUGUUUCUGUCUGUGUCAGCAGCAGCUGUGUUCAAUGCGGCUGCUAAACCUGAAGGUAAGACCUCACCUUUAUAUCCUGUCUUUGUAGAGGGGACACCUGCACUUCCUCCUAUUCUAACAUGUGGCCCAAAUCAGAGCGGCGAGGCUCAGCUCUCUGUAAAGUCCCUCUCCAUGGACAGGUGGAUGUUUUUAGGCUGACUGCUAAUGAGAAGAGGGUCGGCUCUAAGCAUUAAAGGACACAGUCCAUUUAAAAUGUGUUUACUGGAGCAAAUGUCCUCUGUGUCUCUGCAGCUCGAUUCAAUCUCUGUCCUCAAGGCUGGUUAGGACACAACUCACGCUGCUACCUGGUCACAACAUCCGCGAGGACUUGGCAUAGUGCAGAGGUAUGACGCCAUGAUAUGACGCCAUGAUAUGACGCCAUGAUAUGACGCCAUGAUAUGACAUCAUGAUAUGACGCCAUGAUAUGACAUCAUGAUAUGACGUCAUGAUAUGACGCCAUUAUAUAACGUUGUUUGCAGUCAACACAUCCUAUUAUUCAUGCAGUUGAGCUGCAGAGCAGUUUGUCAAACAGUGGCACCUGUGCCCCCUAGAGGCAGUUUGAGUAUCUGCAGGUUUUGUUAAACUGUUACUUUGUUAGACUGUGACCUAUUUACGCCCCCUUCUGUUCAACAGGAGUUCUGCAACAACCUGGACGCCCAGCUGGCCUCAGCCACAGACCCCCAGGAGUAUAAAUUCCUGCAGGUGCUCACACGGACAGCGGGUCAGAGCACCGCCUGGCUGGGAGGAUUCUACCUGCAGGUCAGUCUGGGCUCAGGUGUAAACCAGAACCUGGUCCAAAGGGAUCCAAAUUUCUAUCUGAUACUUUGUAAUCCCUCAAACUCCUGCCGUCUGUGUCUCUUAGGGGAGGUGGAUGUGGAUCAACAGGGAUGGAUUUUAUUACCAAAACUGGUAUGUCACCUACAGCCAACCCAGCAACCCCUGCCUGUACCUGAACUCAAACGGUAAGUGUCCACACCUGUCUGCUCCACCUACAGACUUUUCUAAGCUCCCUGUCUGAGCUCAUCUGUUCACUCAGAUGGACUCCUUCAAGGUUUUAGUCCUGACCAGAGUUAGUCUUGGUUUGAAUGAGCUGUUUCUGCUGUAAAAGCUCUAGUUUAGAUCUCCGUGACGGUGUCAUACACUCAGUCUAAAUGAUAGUAUUUACUUGUUACCAUGGCUCUCUGAUGAACACAAGUCCUGAUCUGCCUGGAUCAGAUAAAUGUUCAUGUUCUUCUAUUUGUCUGAUUUUCAGUUGGUUGGUCAAACUCUGGCUGUGGGAGCGGUCGCCCCUUCAUCUGCUCCAGGAACCUUUUUGGCUGUUAAAGGACUGGAGGAAGAUUUCUGCUGUUGAAUUCUGAUCCUUGUUGUGAGCCUGAUUAAACUGUCUCUCCCUCUCUCUCUCUCUCUCUGUAUUUGAAAAUAUGAAGUGAUGGUUUAUUGUUGUUGGAUCAGUGUGUUUUUCUGUCUCCUGUUAAGUUUUGAUGUAAAAAUUGUGCAGUCUUUGUUAAAGUGUAUUUUAAAUAAAAAGUUAUGACUCAAUGCUGAACAGCUUGUCCAUCUGGUUUUUCACAGUAGAAAUUGAACUACAUUCAGAUAUAACAGUUUACUAUGACUGAACAACAAAAACAGCUUCAAUCAUUUAUAAUAAUUAUCAUUCAUAAUAUUUAAAUCAUAGAUAAACUUACACAUCACAAACAGGGAAGAAAAGGGUUUAUAUCCUAUUUUUACUCAGGAAUCUCCUGACUCAUUAGAUGGGACCAAAACGCAAGUGAAAACAGGACUUUGAGGGCAGUCUGACUCAUUACAGGUCAUUAAAAACUCAAUAUAACCUCAUCCACAGAACAUACUAUAACCCUGAAAGGCUAAACCAGAAGAGGUCUGAACGACCCCACUUCUACCUGAGGUAUAAAACAGGAACUGGAGAACUGGCAUGUUUGGGUCGAACCACUCCUGGAUUCAUACAGGACAUUUUUGCUGAGUUUGCUAAAUAACAUCACCGACACAUGGAUUUCUGGAGACACAUCUCAAAAUACAUUCAAGCAAUUCUAUUCCAACUAUUCCAGUUUUAGCAGGAGAAAAGCACAACAGAUCACAUGACCAAGGGGCAACAAACAAACUGAAGACAGCAGUGGUCCCAGGACUGACUCCUGGGGUACCCCACUGGAUGAACAAAGACCACAUGGCUGUGAGUUUCCAGUGGAAAUGCUAAAAGACCUCCCAGUUAAAUCAGACUAAAUCCAUUUCAAAGCUGAACCUCAGACACAGGCCCAGAGCCUAAGACAUUGCAGUAAAAUUAAAUGGUCACCAGUAUCAAAUUAAAUAUCAAAUGCAGCUCUUAGGUCUAAAAUAACUCACAUAAAAGAUUUCCCACCAUCCCCAGCCAUCAGAAAAUCAUUCAUUACUCUGAGCAGAGCGAUCUCAGUGCUGUGGUCAGACCUAAAGCCAGACUGAAGAGUCUCAAAGAGUGAAUAACUGCUCAAGUCUGUUGACGGAUUUGCAACCACUUUUCCCAGAACCUUGGAGAGGAAUGACAGUUUGGAAAUGGGUCUAAAAUUUUCUAAAAGAUCAGGGUGUAGAGAUGUUUUUUGUUGUUGUUGCUGAAGUGGUUAAAUUAAUGCAAAUAUGAAAGCAGAUUAAACAGAACCAGAAUAUAUGGACUGACAGAUCCACCUAUGUCAUUCCGGACUCUUGGAGGUAGGAUAUCAAGUAAACACGAAGAAGGUUAUUAUCUCAAUGAGAGUGUUAACUGUAAUUGUGUGAACUGAUUCUCAUAUAUUCUUUUUUAAAGCUUUUUUAAAGAGUCAGUUAUCCAUUGGAGAACAGUUUAAAGAGCGUUUCUGUUUCAAUGGAGCUAUUUGGUUCAAUGUAAUCUGACUCUUUCAUCUGAGGCAGUGAUACGGUUAUCAGUUGUUUACAGGUCAAUUUGAUGAUCCAUGGAGUUCUGAGGAAUAAUAGAGGUCAAGGUAAACUCUAUUAACUUCUUAUCAGCUGGUUUAUAAUCAGUCAGAGUUCAUCAGUUCAUCUCUCUGUGUUGAUUAAUCUACGCCGCAGGAUUAAGAAUCAACAUCAAACCCUCACGUGCUUGAUAAUCAGUGAUACACACAUACACACACACACACACACACACACACACACACACACACACACACACACACACACACACACACACACACACACACACACACAUCAGAUCAUCCAGGUGUGUUUAAAAAGAGCAACACUGCAUCUCUCAGCCACACUGACCCAACAGGUAAGACAAGGAGACACCUGCUAAGUGACUCAAAGAUACAACCAGCUGAUCAUCACCAUGACAACGGCUCUCUUCUACUGCAUCCUUCUGUGUGCUACUGCAGGUUAGACACACACACAAACAAAGACACAGACAGACAGACAGACAGACAGACAGACAGACAGACAGACAGACAGACAGACAGACAGACAGACAGACACACACACACAUUAGAAACCUUAAGCAGAAACCCAGACCCUCAGUCAACUCAUGUUCAUCGAUGCUGUAAAUGUGAACGUGUGAGUAUUGAAGUUUGGACCUGAGAUUCUCAGAGGUGGAGUCAGAACUUUUGGACGACAAACUAGGGCAACAACUGUCCCUUCAAUCCACUGACCUCUCCUUUCUGAUCAUAAACAUUUUAACUACAAACAUUUCGGUAUCAUAUUAAUAUUUCAUUUCUGUGUCAAGUUUUUUUUUGCUUUAACCUUUAAGGACCUUUAAGAAAUUUUAUCCAGUCACAAGUUUACCUACAAACAAAGACAAACAAGCAGCCUGUUGUGUUGAUUAAAACAUAUGUCCCGCCUCUAAAAGGGCAAAUCAGCCAAUCAUGGUUUAGGAUUUUGGGGCAGCCAUCCACUGACACUCACCAAGUGUUGUUUGCCGUCUCCUGGUGGGCCUUGAAGGAACUGCAAGUGGAACACUGACUGACUAACUUACAUACAUACUUAUUUAUUUUGGUCACAACAGUUCAGGAGUCCAAAACCUGUCUGCAGCCAGCAAGCACAACCACCCGGCAGCCUGUAAUAACAACCAGCGAGACACCUGAAUCCACAACGAGCAAGACGCCACAAUCCACAACCAGCAAGAAACCAGCAACAUCCACCACCUCCAGGAGCAGCUCCACCACGACUCCAGGUCUGACCUCACCCUGCAUGGUUGAACCCACUCUCAGCAGGGCGCACUAGCAGACAGAUUCUGUGUACAGGCUAAAGUUGUAGUUUCAGUGUGACAGAAUCUAAUCUGCAUAAACACCUCAUCAAUAUAAACUAGAUGUAUAGAAAUAAGCAGGAACACACCAUAUUUAACAGAGUCUUACAAUGCCUUUUCCUGAGGUAGAUGAAGAGUUGGUAAAGUUACAGGAUGACAUGGAUGUCAAGUUGUUUCUCCUCUGUCUCUAAAGUUGGUCGCCUCUGUCCUCGGGGAUGGCUGGGGUUCCGCUCUCACUGCUUCAGGUUCAUCAGUGAUCCUGUGAGCUGGUUUCAAGCUGAGGUACUGCUGCCGUCAUCCACCAACAUCACACUCGAAGGUUCACACACACUGACCGGGUCUGACAGGAUGUUUCUAGAGUCACGUCACCUGCUGGUUUCCUGACUGUGACUGUGGAGCCUUGACUUCAGUGUUUAGUUCCUACCAUGGUGUCUGAGUUUGCAUCAGUUUGCACUGAUAUCCACUCUGCUCAUGGUUCAUGAAUGAGACUCGAUGAGUUCGUUCAUUUUAGUAAAGUCACGCACAAUUCUGCAUGUUGGUGUUCUGGACCUGGAAGUAAUCGUAUCCUAAACAAAGACCAGACCUUUACCAGGAUCCACCUGAUCCCCUUCUUGAACAGGUUCUUAUCCAGGUCCUGGUGCUCUUUGACCAACAUGCUUGUAAAAUCUAAUCUGAAGAUAUCAAACUGAAAAACCUGCACACAACCAACCUACCUGAUGUUCCAGUAAGUACCGAACAGUAUUUUUCAUUGUGCUCCCCCUUCUGUCCAACAGGAGCACUGCAACAAACUCGGGGGCCACCUGGCUGCGGUCACCAGCCAUCAGGAGUACAUUUUCCUGCAGAGGAACACCAGGAAGAUCGGUCAGAGCAGAAUGUGGCUGGGAGGCUUCAACCUGCAGGUUUGGAUUCAUCUUUACCUGACGCUCUUUCCUGAAACGCCUCAGUUUUAAGAGACAACAUGACUUCCUGUUUCAUUUAGUGGUAACGCCCCUGCAGUCAUUUCAAAUCCAGGGCAGGGUCUCGAGACUUUGAGUCCUGUGUUAGUCCUGAAACCAUGUGAUCCAGACCCAACCAUGAAGCUUGAACAUCUCUGCGGACCUCUGUGUGUCCUGAUGUCUGGUCUGGUCUGUGUUUGGCAGAUUAAAGACAGUCAUCUCCAUAAUGAUCAGGAUUUACCAAAAAACAAACACUUAACCCUCACCCUAAUCUGAACGCAGUAUUAAAGCCACAUGACGGAGGUUUUAUUUUGAAGUAUCCUCAUACUGUGAUGACUUUAAUAUGAAUUCAUCCCAUUUUUAAACCAAAACUAAGUAAAUUUAAUUCUCGUAAUAUAAUGACUUUAAAUGUACGAAUGAAUGACUUUUGCUCCCAUGUUGAAAUGAUUUUUUUUAAUCUAAUAAAUUUUUUGUACUAAUUAUAUAGUUGAACCUCAUAACAUAACAUGUUUUUUAUUAAAUGAUUUUUAUCUAUAAUAUAAAGCUUGUAAUCUCAGGCUAAAAUCUCAUUUAAUGACUCAAAUCUAAUUUAAUUAAGACUUUUAAUCUCUUACUGUCACUCAAAUCUGUUUUUAUAAUGAUUUAAUUCCUGUAAAAUUAAAUGACUUAUAACUCAUAAUAUAAUGACUCUGAUCCUGUAAUUUAAGGACUUUUUUUUCCAUACUUAAGUAAUUUUUAACUUCCUUAUUUUACCACAAUAAUCUUAUUAUUUAACCACUUUAAUGUUGUUAAACUAAAACUGUUGAUCUGGUGACAUUAAUCCGGCUUUCUAAUGAUUUUUAUUCAUUUAAAAUGACUCUAUUCUAAGACUCCAUCACUGCUGCUCUCUGUUGGUCAGGGCCGCUGGAUGUGGACCGACCGUAAAGGUUUCUAUUACAGCAACUGGCACCGCCCCCUCGUCCUCCCUCACACCAACCCCUGCCUCUACCUGUACACCAACAGUGAGUCACCUGAUUAUAGAGGCCUUCUGUGUUUCAGCCACUUUUUAACCUCCUGACAUGCAGAAGAAUUAGAUUUGGAUAAUUCAAAGCUAACGAGGUCACACCAUAUCUGAUGUUUUUAAAUUUUACAGCUAAGUCACCUGUAUGAGCUCACGGUACAGGCUUGUUGUGCUUCAUCAGGUCCCCGCGUGGGAAAACUGAAAAUGGACACAUGCAGCGAGUUUGUUGCCUUGUACUUUUUAAAAGAAGCUGUCUCUUCUGGAGCUCUUUGGAAAAUACUGACUUUCUUUUUGACACGACAACGAGCCGACCUCUGCAAAAGCAAAUGAUCAGCUCGGAUUAGGUUUAACUUCCCAGUCAGGUCGUGUUGUACACGCACAGGGCGGUGCUUUGGUGCCCAACAUGAGGAGCAAUUAUAUCAGCAUCUUUCAGCGUCAUGAACACCAUGAUUGCAGACAUCUUGGUGUCAAAAGUCUGUGAUAAUUUCCCCUGACUAAACCUUCGAUCACAACAGUGUCUGACAGACAGAACACCCUGAAUGAGUGAAGGCGUGAACCCUCAGGGGUCUUCAAAAAAGACCAGUACAAGCAGGACCAGAGGGUGGCGUACUAAGUUUCUGAUGCAGAAGUACAAACAUGACAGUAAAACGACACACCUGAGAGAGGAAACCAUCACACACAAACAUUUCAAAGAGACAGGAGCUCCAUUACAUUGUGAUGCUUUUUACACAUUUCAUCCCUUUAAAUAUCAGAUUAACAGGCCUGUGUCAGUGUUUUACCUCUCAUCGUUUUAAGAUAGGUUUAGUCAGUUCAAAGAAAGCAGCACAUUUUGGCCACUUUUAACUAUCUCAAUUCAACAAUCAAUCAGAAAUUGGUAUCAAGGUUGUACUGAGCAUUUAAAUCUGCAGUUUUUACUGUCAGAUUACUUAAAUUAACUCAAAUUUACAGUAAUCUGUACGACAGUAAACUCUGUGAUGAUAAUAUUUAGACGCUCUCUGUGUCACAGAUUUAUUUCCUGCUGCAGAAAAAUGUGCUGUUUUUGUUUCUCCUUAUCAAAGUUAUUAACUGAAUCUAAUAAAGUGAAGUAUUGUAUGUUUAGGUGAAAUAUUAUUUAAAGUUUAUUUCACACAUUAACAUCUUCCUCUGGUCUUUUUUUGACUCCAAAUCUCAGGCGGCUGGAGUAACACUCGGUGUGGCUUCAAGUUCCCCUUCAUCUGCUCCAGGAACCCGUUCGGAUGUUAAAACCUAAAGGACGGAGGUCUGAAGAUGGAUCAGAUUCAUUAUUCUGGGUUUAAAGUUGCAUUUUACAGUUACAUUGAUGUAUAUGAAUUGUUGUUGUUUCAUUUUUACUCUUCAAAUUUCAUAUCAAUCAAGUUUUUGUCUUAUGGCACCUUUUGCUCAAAUCAAACACACAUAAAGUGCUUUACAGUAACUGAAACAAAUAAAGCAAAAAUAAUAGAGACAACCAUGAGAUGUAAUGAAGUAUAGACUAGUUUGCACCGAUAAUUGUAAAAUACAUGUAUUCUAAUGUGAUUGCUUUAGGUGUACACAAUGUUUUUUAUAUAUAUGAAACCGUUGUUUUCUACUUGAAGUAAUUUUUAAAGCACAAUAAUAAUCUGUUAUCCUACAAAUCUUACUGUCUGUUGAAAAAUCACAGUAAGUAAAAAUGCUAAAUGACUUGUAACUGUGUAGAUCCAUGAGCUACAGCAGCUGGGGAGUACAAGGUCAGAGUCCUAUAUGUCCUAUGUUUUAUAUGUUGAAUAGUCAUAAAAUAAAAGCUAAAGUCUAAUUUAAGUGAUUAAAAAGAUCAACCCCUCUAAUUUUUAUAAUACAGAGUAAAAACACUUUAAUAUGAGUGAAAUCUGUGUUUUUAUUUAGAGAGUGAUGCAUGGUCCCUUUCAACAGCGGUUUAUAUGACUUUUUUAUUACCAGUUGGACAGACGGGCUUUGGUAAGUAAAAAAGAGUCAAAACUGUUUAUUUUCCUCUCACUGUGUUUUUCUCAGAAUUAAGAGGUUUUAAGUUAAAUUUGUUAAAGUUAUUCACAACCUCCUCCCUCCUCAUCCUUAAUAUAAGACUUCUACAUAAGACCAACACUGACUGUUAGUAACUUUCCUAAUACAGAAAUGUUGAAAAAGUAAUUCACUGGCUCUGAUUUUCCUAAAGCCCUGAGGCAUGAUGGGAAGUAGGGCAUCACAUAUUAGAGUUAAGAGAGCCAGCGAGCCAGCAAGCCAUCUCUCCACGUGGUUUGAAAGGCGGCUGUAUUAGAUUUGAUCUCA